GCCUCCGGGGACGAGGAACUAGCACAAAUAACCGUUUUGAAAUUGGAUCUUGGCAAAAUUUGCAACGAAUCCAUAAAGGAAACUGAAAGCAGUUUGAUCUUCAUCUUCAGUGACAGUCCCACAAAAGUUGAAGAAAUAUGUUAUGUCUCCAAAGAAGAGUACAGUUGUGCCCUAAAAUUAAAACAUGAUUAAGGGGUUUGGGUAAUAGGCCAGUGAUGUGCUUUUCAUUGUCGAGGAAUCCAUCUACUACACAAAAGAGGCACGGAUGCACCAUCCAGCAGAUAUCUGUAUGCCAAUCCCAGUAGGAAUGCCUAUGCUCUGAUAAGUCACAGCUCACAUGGCCCCUUUCUCCUGGAGAAUGAAUUAUCAGAUGGAAAUGUCCUGUUUCGCGUGGAAUAAUUGUAAAGACUCAACCUCAAAAAUAAAGCCGAAAAUAGACUGAAGCAUAAUAUAUUUUUAUAGCUCUCUCUCCAGAAUGACAGAAUUUUCUGUAAAUCUCAUUAUGUAAAAUAUGCCUUCCCUGUGGUAAGUAUGAGGUAUGGGGAGAAACUAAUUGGAUUGCUCAAAUUAGUCAAUAUGUCUGAAACUAUUUUGGGGAUGCUUAGCCUUUUGGGUAACUAUAUGAUAUAAUUUGUUGGUUUCUUGUGAGAGUUCUUCUUUUGAGCAACAAGCAGAAAUCCAGCAUAAAUUAAGAAAUGCAAUUUUAGGCACAAUACAAGGGCCACAGAUGACCACAAUGUGUAUAGUCAUCUCAAAGAGAAUGAUGUACUGAAAAAUUAAGAGUGAUAGCAUGACAGUGGAAUGACUGCCAACUUUUUGGACAUCGAUGUAAGCUGAAUUUAAUAAAAGCAAAAGAGAUGUUAGAGAAGGAAGACUCUAGAAUAACUUAUUUUGUGAUUUUGUUAGGGUUUUUCUAAUGGUAUCUUCUGGGGCAAAUAUCUUCUAGCUGAAAUGAUUGUAAUUAAAA